CCUACGGGUGGCUGCAGUGGGGAAUAUUGGACAAUGGGCGAAAGCCUGAUCCAGCCAUGCCGCGUGUGUGAAGAAGGCCUUCGGGUUGUAAAGCACUUUCAGUGGGGAAGAAAGCCUUGGGGCUAAUACCCUCGAGGAAGGACAUCACCCACAGAAGAAGCACCGGCUAACUCCGUGCCAGCAGCCGCGGUAAUACGGAGGGUGCGAGCGUUAAUCGGAAUUACUGGGCGUAAAGCGCGCGUAGGCGGUCUGAUAAGCCGGUUGUGAAAGCCCCGGGCUCAACCUGGGAACGGCAUCCGGAACUGUCCGGCUAGAGUGCAGGAGAGGAAGGUAGAAUUCCCGGUGUAGCGGUGAAAUGCGUAGAGAUCGGGAGGAAUACCAGUGGCGAAGGCGGCCUUCUGGACUGACACUGACGCUGAGGUGCGAAAGCGUGGGUAGCAAACAGGAUUAGAUACCCCGGUAGUC
rnacentral:rRNA from 1 species